CAACUAUUUAUCAAUUUUGAUUGUUUUAUCAUUUUAACAAAAAUCCACCAUUUCCGGUAUUCGAUAUAUUUACAAUAUUGCAACAAAAGCAACAACCACAAAAAUGAAUUUUUUUUUUCAUCGACGACGACAACGACAUUGAUGAAAAAAUAGCAAAAUAGGAAUGUACUUAUAAUAAUCAUGAAAAUUUACAGUACAUUUACCCAAUCACCAUCAUGAAUGAAUUUAUUCCACACACUCAACUGAUCGAUCAAGGUAAUUUUAACUGGAAGCUUAAUUUAAAUUUAAUUUCCCUUUUUUCCAUUCUCGACGAAGUAAGGUAAAUUCAAAGUAGUUGUGGUGGUGGUAACGGAUCACUAUUCACACCAUCUCAUUAGAAUGCUAAUGAUCAAUAACAGCAACGACAAUCAAGUUCAAAAAUCAAAGAAAAAUCUUUAUCUGGAAUGUUCUUCUUACGUUCAUCUCAUCUUAUUCAAAUAUGAUGAUGAUGGACAAAUAAACAAUCUAUAUGCAUCGUCAUCAAUACAGCAGUGAAAAUUAUAGAAAACAAAUGACGACGAAUGAAACAUGAUGCCCAGAACAAUGAUGAAAAUACAUGAAUUUCUCUAGCCAUCUCUAUAGACACAAAAACAAAAUACAAUAGUCAUCUGGGGUGAAGAAGAAGGUUUGCCAUAUCUUUAUGAAGAGAAAACCUCGACUUUGAAAAUGUGAAAAAAAAAAUCUAAUCAUGUAAUACAAUUGAAUUGAAUUGAAUUUUCAUUCUUCA